rnacentral:lncRNA from 1 species
CCGGGUUAUAAUAUUUCAUUUUAAAAGACUCAUAUUUGAUAUUUGUUUUUCUUUUUUUUGUUUUUGUUUCUGUUUCUUUUUCAAGACAGGGUUUCUCUGUGUGUGCCAUCACUGUCCAGCUAUUUAAUAUUUCUUACACAGACCAGCAAGACAUCUCUGCACUCCCCAUCUCCAAACAAGUUUAAAAGUUAAGUUCUUCUUUAAAAAAAUCAAUAAACGUUUUUUGGUUUUUCUUAUUUGAUUUUUUGAAAUGGGAUUUCCCUCUUAGGUAGGCUGACGUUGAACCCUCGGCAUCAUUCUCAGUCUCCUGAGUAGCUGGACUGUAGGCCCACCUGGCUCUAUGCACCAGCAUACCUGACUCUAUGCACCAGCGCACCUGGCUUUAUGCACUUCCCAUGCUGUCUGCUUCUAAGCUGUCUGGUUGAUCCGAGGUCCCAAAGAAACCAGGGACAAGUCUCACUCAUUACCUGUGGCUCCUCCCAGCACUUCUCACCUGGUGUUAAUCCCAAAGAUUCGAUGACAAAGACCACCCACCCAAAUCAUCAUGGCCAAAUUAAUUCAAGCUAGCAAUUAAUUAAAGCAAACUUUUUUCAUUCAUGUACAUGGGUUGUCUUGCCCUAAAAUUGGGGUUCAAGAGAUCAGCAUUGGACAUGGAGAAGACAAGGGCUUUUAUAGGUUAGGGUUAGGGAGUCUCCAAAUGGGGGAUUUGGC